GUGCUGGCUUUGGCAGCACAUAUAUUAAAAUCGAAAUGAUACAAAGAUUAGAAUGGCCCUUGCACAAGGAUGACAUGCAAAUUUGUGCAGCAUCCCAUAUUUAA
ensembl:snRNA U6 U6 spliceosomal RNA